AUUGAACGCUGGCGGCAGGCUUAACACAUGCAAGUCGAGCGGAGAUGAGGUGCUUGCACCUUAUCUUAGCGGCGGACGGGUGAGUAAUGCUUAGGAAUCUGCCUAUUAGUGGGGGACAACAUUCCGAAAGGAAUGCUAAUACCGCAUACGUCCUGCGGGAGAGAGCAGGGGAUCUUCGGACCUUGCGCUAAUAGAUGAGCCUAAGUCGGAUUAGCUAGUUGGUGGGGUAAAGGCCUACCAAGGCGACGAUCUGUAGCGGGUCUGAGAGGAUGAUCCGCCACACGGGGACUGAGACACGGCCCAGACUCCUACGGGAGGCAGCGGUGGGGAAUAUUGGACAAUGGGGGGAACCAUGACCCAGCCAUGCCGCGUGUGUGAAGAAGGCCUUAUGGUUGUAAAGCACUUUAAGCGAGGAGGAGGCUACUGAGACUAAUACUCUUGGAUAGUGGACGUUACUCGCAGAAUAAGCACCGGCUAACUCUGUGCCAGCAGCCGCCGUAA
rnacentral:rRNA from 1 species